GUCUGUAGCGAUCUGCACACAUUAAUACAUUUUUGUUAGAAGUUUUUACACCCACAAUGGCUGACGGAGGAGAAGAAAUUGACUUGGUUUCAGAGAUACUUAAAAAUCCAUUUUCAGGGCGGACUUUUUACAGAAAAGCUAGACAUCGUGAGGAAAGCUCGGCUAACCCCGAAGCUAGCUAGCCUGUCUCAGCCCAGGAAAGGGUUUGUUCGCCACUUCCAGACCAGUGCCUACCAGCGGUACCACUGGCUUACAGCCUCCUAGGAGCGUUGCAAAUAACUGGGAAUGCCUGUUAUUUGCAAGUGAUCACUUGGUGUUUGGAGUCACAGAGGGUUUGCGAACUUGAGUUGUCUAACCAAGGCAGCGGGGCAACACCAAGCCACGGCGGGGCACUUGCAGGCUGCGGUGCGUUUGGGAACAUUUGGGGAAGCCAGAGUUGAUCUCCAGCGCAGUGAACAAGUGCGCAGAGAAACGGAGCUCCACAGUGAAAAGGUGAAUUAAAAUAGGGAAAUGUUGAAAAGACUGGUAGAGUGUGUCAUCUUUUUGGGUAAACAGGAACUUCCAUUCAGGGGACACCAUUAAAGUGCUGGAUCCACAAACAGACUCCGUGCGUUGUGCUAAUACACGUCUGGAUGACUGAGUGUAGUUUUUUGCCUCACGCAUUCAGUGGGAUUUUUGGAACAGAACAAAUCACUGGAUGUACAAUUGUGUCUGCCAAGGGUGAAGGAGUUUUGUGACACCCAUGAGCGAGAGCCGGACCGGUUUGGUGCUAUCUAGGUCUGCACUGUGGGCAUCUCGGGUGCUCCGAGCGCACGGAGUGGGCCUGCGCAAGGAGACAUUCGCGCACACUACCAGAAACUCCACAACAGUGUUCUGGACAACAUUCUUUGCCAGAUACAGAACAGAUUUCAAGAUCACGAACACUUAAUGUUUCUUUCCCUCCUCAACCACCAGCGGUUUCACACAUAUCGGAUAAAAUUCCCGCACACAGCCUCCUCCAGCUUGACGCAGAGCCACGGAAUUGAAUGUGAUGUAUGCUAUGACAGACUUUGAAGGGAAAUGCCCCUCUCAUCUCCUCGACUUCCUGAGUGAGAGCAUGCCACAGCUGUACACAUCGACUAUCCCUAUAUCCACUGCAGCUGUCGAGCCUACAUUCCCUGCCCUCGUGUGCCAGGAACAGGACUGGACAGAGUCGACCCGCAGCCUUGGCCUCCAUGGCUGUAGAAAAGGACUUAGUGGUGGAACUGAAACGCAGAGAUCACCUCUAUGACAGAGUCAUUGAAGAAAGGAGGAUGGAUUUAGUCUAUAAAUAAAUAGCAUCUCUGAUAAGAUUGCAGCCUGUCUGGAGCUCAGGUCUCCGACUCGUCCACUCAUGCCUGUGCUGCUGCUGAGACGGAGGCCGUGAGUGUAAAUGAACUGUGCUGGAGGGAAGAGCUGUUCAGAAACCACUGGGACCCAGAUACCAGGUUCACCAAAAAAGAGCUGGUGCUUAUGAAUAAAUAGAUGAUUUACACAAAACGAUCAGAAAGCAGAGAAGAACUUCUCAUGGUGCCAUUGUGCAAAGUUGUUUUAAUCAUCCCAGAAAAUAAUGCAGCUCCCCAACACCAAACAUGGAGAAUAUGGAAGGAAAAAUCAACCUUAGAGGAUUUUUAGAAACCUAACCAUCCUGUUUUUAAUGCCCCAAAGUUCAAAUAACGAAAAUAAUGUGGCGAUCCAUCAGCUGUGCACACACCUGUUCGCCAUGCGCAGGCCAAUCACGACUGUGCUUUCUGUUGAGCUGCAGCGCUGUGACAGCAGAGACACGUCCUCUGUGCUGCUCUAAUAAACUGGAAACAAUGACGGUGGUGCUUCCCUUCAGGAGGAGGGGGAGUGGACCCGACCUGGCUGAUUCUCCUAAACCUGAAUCAAGAAUGGUGUUUUGAAAAACCUGGCUGGUGCACUGUGCAUCACUUCAUGUCUGACUGUUGGCAUGUAGAUGUGAAUCCUGCUGCAGACUGUUUGUUCUCCACAGGUCCAGUGGAUGUGUCUUACAGACCAAGUUGUGGUGGUGGUUACUCAACUUUCAGUGUAAAGGGGCAACGCACAAUAAUCGGCUCAAGUCUGACCAGCAGUCUGAUUAUUCCUGUGUUCGUCCGGACAAAAACAAACUUUUAGCUGCUGAUGGUGCAACUGAAAAAGUCAGUAGGAUUCGUUGUCUAGGCAGAAAUGUACACAUGAAAUGUCACAACGGUCCAUCCAGUUACUGCUCAGACAUUUCAGUCUGGAGCAAAGCGAUGGACCCACACGGUCGUCAGUGGCACCACUAGCACAGCUCAAGGACAACCAACUCAAAACAAGCCCGUUCUGACAGUUGGCCUUUCUAGUGUUGACCAAACACGUGAGGUGACUGCUGAUCCAGCUCAGUAUCUUCUCUGAGAGCUGGUGAGAACAAACAUCCAGCUGCUUCAUAGUGAUCCCCUCUAACACCAGACGCCUCGGGGACAGUGCAGCCACACGCCAGCAGCAGGACUGGGUCAGCUCCUCCUGGACCACCAGUCAGUUUCUGGUUUUAUAUGAUGAAUAGAUGAAAAUAAAUUAUUUUGUGGAUUCAUUUCACCAGAUGUGGCCACUACAUGUCAGCUGCUUCAAGACAGUUACUUCAGGUGUAAAGCUGCUUUCAUUGUGUCCUCAAGAUUUAUUUUACAGUCAUUGAGACUAAAGCUCUUCAAACUUUACACUUUGGGAUUAGAUAUUUUCCACCUUAUGACAAAAUAAUUAGAGAAUUAUUUGUUUUUUCCUCUCAAUGUUCAAGGUUUGCUACACAAACUGCAGAAUGAAUGUAGCCUACAUCAAAAAUACUCCUGUUUUAAAAUGUUUAUAAUAAUUAUUCCAAAAAUAAUUCUUCAGUAUUAACAAACAAAAGUUUGAUACAAUCUCUAUGCAUUCAGUUUUCUUUUUAGAUCUGCACAAAGCUGAGUGAAAACAUCCAGAUUGAAAAGUGACACACUGGGAUGAGAUGUGAACUUUGCCCUAAACAGCGAGAAAACACACACCUGACCUUAGAUAGUGAGGGGGUGCACAAAGCUACUUUAAACAUGCUAACCUGGUUGUGUUUGUUUCAGGGAUGGAAACCUCUGUGUGCUUACAGAGUAUUUAUUAACCACAAGACCUUCCUCCAACGACAGCGAGGAAGCUGUCGGCUCUGAAGUAGCUUUAAUUUUCUGGACAAGAUGAGAAGCAGGUGAAGAACCACCUACGUGAUACAGACUGUGCACGGGCACAGGGAGAAACCUCUGAGCUGUCUCCUGCUUUAAUGGCUCUAAUGUGCUGAGUGAGCUUAAAGGUGAAGCCAGCCUGAGGCUUCCUGAGAAGGCUAUCUCUGCUCACAACACAUGGUUCAGGAUCAGUUCCACAUCUGAGGAAACGUGCCUGUUCCUCUUGGUGCAGAGACUUGGAGAAGACUCACCUCUCAUGUCUGUGGCCUAUAUGUGAAGCUGUUAGCUUAGCAUAAAGACCAGAAACAGGGGGAAACAGUCUGGUGCCAAAAGUGACUCAGGUGUUAUAGAUAUGUUUAGUACAAAACGUAAAACCUUAAAACAAUAAAUUGUAGUUUUACAGGACGUUUUGUGCCAGAAAAUAAACACACUAGAGCAAAUUCAGAAGUGUUUGUAGGUGGAUGCUGUGAGCUUCGGACAAAACCAGGCUAGCUGUCAUUUUUAAGCUGGCUCCUGACUGAUGCUUCAUUUUCCACUGUGAAUCUUCUGAUCCAAAUCUCACAUUUCCCAAAGUGUCAGACGAUUCCUUCAAAGGGGUUUUAAAAAGUCUGUAUAUUCAUAUAGUUGAUAAAUGAAAAAAAAAAAAAGGUGUGCGAUGACCUGACCAAGCUGCGCAGACUUGGAUCACUGAGCUGAGUGAACAAACAAAACCACUGGUAUUUGAGAGGGGGCGCCAUUACCCACAAACCACCAGCUAACAGUUGAGUCAGAGCAUCACAGAAACAUCCUGGCAGACGCCAAAGAUAACGAAAGGAUAAGAUUAUCAUUAACUCUGGCAUCCAACCCUCAUGAUGGCUGAAACUCAACAAACCAGCCACAUUCAGUUUGUGGCAGAGUCACUAGUGAAUGAAGUGGAAGCUCCAGACGGCUGGUAGCACUGGGCCUCGUGAGGUAAGCUCCACCCACCCGGUUACUGACACACACUGGGCCUCGUGAGGUAAGCUCCACCCACCCGGUUACUGACACACACUGGGCAUCUCACAAGAACCAGAGAACAGCCUCGUCCCAACGUGGAACCAUAUCUGUUGUUAGAGCCGUGUCUGCAUUUCCCCACAAGGAAAAACCUGUUUGAAUUAAAGAAUCAAUGUUACAGGAAAAACGUCUCUUCGUGUAUCAUGACAGCGUAACCAAAAAAAAAAAAAAAAUUAUUCAGUAAAAAAGUUGAACCUAUUUAAAAUUUUUCAAACAAAAUAACACCGUGAACUGUCCCUGCACUGGCCACAUACUCAUCUUCCUGGGAGAUUAUCGUUUACUGUGAACGCUUCAGUUCUAAGGGUUUGGAAGGUGAUCACCACGUACCAGAGGGUUACUAACAGCUGUGCAGAACUUUGGUGUUUAGCACUCACACUCAUCGGCCUGUUGCUCACACGGGACCAGGUGGAUCUCACACAGCCCCUCGCUCAGUCUCAACACAGGGACAUUUCUUAUAUAGCAAUUUAAGGGAGCUAAUUAUGCUCAUAAUUAAAUACCAGAGGCUGAUCCUGCUCAUUAAAAGGGGCCAUUAAUCACGCUGAAAUAAGCAACUCAUGUUCCGGGUUCGGUGAAUGUGACUCGAACGCUUGUCAGGGAACAAAGUUUACAAUGAGAUGAUAAAUGUUCUUGCACGAGGCCCGUUAUACCUUAAGAGAAAAAGACAAGCAAUGUCUCUUCAUCCCUGCGAUACACGUUUUUAGAAAGGCCCAGCUACUGUGUGAAGUGGCCCCCUGAGCACUGGGUACUGCAGCCAGUCACGCCCCCAGCUUCAUCGUUUCAUUAGUAAACC